rnacentral:rRNA from 1 species
CCUACGGGCGGCAGCAGUGGGGAAUAUUGGGCAAUGGAGGCAACUCUUACCCAGCAAUGCCGCGUGCAUGAAGACGGUCUUAGGAUUGUAAAGUUGUUUAAUUGGGGACGAAAAAAAUGACGGUACCCAAGGAAUAAGCCCCGGCUAACUACGUGCAAGCAGCCGCGGUGAAACGUAGGGGGCAAGCGUUGUUCGGAAUGACUGGGGUUAAAGGGUGUGUAGGCGGGGUAGGAAGGUAGACGUGAAAGACCUAGAGCUUAACUCAGGUGCUGCUGCUAAAACUGCUAUACUUGAGUGCAGUAGAGGAAAGCGGAAUUCCUGGUGUAGCGGUGGAAUGCUUAGAUAUUA